GCCUAGUGGUUAGAGGAGGCAGGUAGCCUAGUGGUUAGAGGAGGCAGGUAGCCUAGUGGUUAGAGGAGACAGGUAGCCUAGUGGUUAGAGGAGGCAGGUAGCCUAGUGGUUAGAGGAGGCAGGUAGCCUAGUGGUUAGAGGAGGCAGGUAGCCUAGUGGUUAGAGGAGGCAGGCAGCCUAGUGGUUAGAGGAGGCAGGUAGCCUAGUGGUUAGAGGAGACAGGUAGCCUAGUGGUUAGAGGAGGCAGGUAGCCUAGUGGUUAGAGGAGGCAGGUAGCCUAGUGGUUAGAGGAGGCAGGUAGCCUAGUGGUUAGAGGAGGCAGGUAGCCUAGUGGUUAGAGGAGGCAGGUAGCCUAGUGGUUAGAGGAGGCAGGUAGCCUAGUGGUUAGAGGAGGCAGGUAGCCUAGUGUGUAGAGGUGGCAGGUAGCCUAGUGGUUAGAGUGUAGAGGAGGCAGGUAGCCUAGUGGUUAGAGUGUAGAGGCGGCAGGUAGCCUAGUGGUUAGAGUGUAGAGGCGGCAGGUAGCUUAGUGUUUAGAGUGUAGAGGCGGCAGGUAGCCUAGUGGUUAGAGUGUAGAGGUGGCAGGUAGCCUAGUGGUUAGAGUGUAGAGGUGGCAGGGUAGCCUAGUGGUUAGAGUGUAGAGGUGGCAGGUAGCCUAGUGGUUAGAGUGUAGAGGUGGC
ensembl:lncRNA